UUUUAAAUUCACUAAAUUUGCUUUGAAAUAUACAAAUAGUUAAUUUUAGGAAAAUAUAUAACCUACAUACAGAAUCAUGUCUUCCCGCAAAACCGUAAGCCGCCGUGGUACCACAAAGAAACGUGCCCAAAGAGCCACAUCCAAUGUAUUCGCAAUGUUUGAUCAGGCUCAGAUUGCUGAGUUCAAAGAAGCCUUCAAUAUGAUCGACCAGAACCAUGAUGGUUUUGUAGAUAAAGAAGAUCUGCAUGAUAUGCUUGCUUCGUUAGGUAA
rnacentral:lncRNA from 1 species